UACGGAGAGUUUGAUCCUGGCUCAGAACGAACGCUGGCGGCGUGCUUAAUACAUGCAAGUCGUGCGAGAAAGUACCCUUCGGGGUGCGAGUAGAGCGGCGAACGGGUGAGUAACACGUAAGUAACCUUCCUCUAAAUCUGGAAUAACAUUGCUAAAGCGGUGCUAAUACCGGAUGUGGUCCAAGCGUCACAUGUCGUUUGGAUUAAAGGUGACCUCUUCUUGAAAGUUACUGUUUAGAGAUGGACUUGCGUCCCAUUAGCUUGUUGGCGGGGUAACGGCCCACCAAGGCAAUGAUGGGUAGCCGGCCUGAGAGGGUGAUCGGCCACAUUGGGACUGAGAUACGGCCCAGACUCCUACGGGAGGCAGCAGUAGGGAAUUUUGCGCAAUGGACGAAAGUCUGACGCAGCAACGCCGCGUGAGGGAUGAAGG
rnacentral:rRNA from 1 species